AGCAGCCGCGGUAAUUCCAGCUCCAAUAGCGUAUAUUAAAGUUGUUGCAGUUAAAAAGCUCGUAGUUGAAUUUCGGGAUCAGUACGCUGGUCGUGCCUCCGGUAUGUACUGGUGUCACUGAUUCCUCCCUUCUGAAGAACCAUCAUGCCAUUCACUUGGUGUGGUGGGGAAUCAGGACUGUUACUUUGAAAAAUUAGAGUGUUUAAAGCAGGCUCGCGCUUGAAUACAUUAGCAUGGAAUAAUGAAAUAGGACGUUUAUCCUAUUUUGUUGGUUUCUAGGAUUGACGUAAUGAUUAAUAGGGAUAGUUGGGGGCAUUAGUAUUCAAUUGUCAGAGGUGAAAUUCUUGGAUUUAUUGAAGACUAACUACUGCGAAAGCAUUUGCCAAGGAUGUUUUCAUUAAUCAAGAACGAAAGUUAGGGGAUCGAAGACGAUCAGAUACCGUCGUAGUCUUAACCAUAAACUAUGCCGACUAGGGAUCGGAUGAUGUUAAUUUUAAUGA
rnacentral:rRNA from 1 species